GAGGAGGAGGAGUCAGUCAGUUGAGGUGUGGAGUGUGUGGAGAGGAGGUGUGUGGAUCUGUGUACCAAAGUGGAUAGGUUCCAGCGAUGUAGAAGUCAACCCCACGACAAGAGAGAGAGAGAGAGAGAGAGAGAGAGAAAAGCGUAUGUGAAAACGAAGAAAAGGAGAAAUAAAAAAGAAAAUGGGAAAAAAGUCAAAGAUUUUAAGGCAAACUGUGAUAGAAUAAAAGAAAACGCGAAGAAAAUAAAGAAAAUUAAAGAAAGUGAGAUAGAGUGAGGAAAAUAAAGAAAGAAAGUGAGAAAGAGAGAUAGAGAGAGAGA